GCAAAAGCCAGUCUGCCUGGAAUUUCUCCACUGAGAAAGAAAAAUGAUAUUUUUGCUCCAACUCGUCUCCAUUUUAGCAAUCAUUAAAGAUGUCCAAAUGGAGGUUCAGCUGGUGGAAUCUGGAGGGGAUGUGAAAAGGCCUGGGGAGUCCCUCCACCUCUCUUGCCAAGCUUCAGGCUUCACCUUCAGCAGCUACGAGAUGAGCUGGGUGAGGCAGGCUCCAGGGAAAGGACUGGAGUGGGUUGCAUGGAUAGAGGAUGAUGGAGAUGAGAGCACCCAAUACUAUGCCGAUUCAGUGAAAGGCCGUUUCACCAUCUUUCGGCAAGAUGCCUCCAGCAUCCUUUAUCUCCAAAUGAGCAGCUUGAAACCAGAGGACACCGCUGUGUAUUACUGUGCUAGAGACGCACAGUGA